GGUGGGUUGGCUCAGUGGUUAGAGCGUAGGUCUCGUAACCGAAAGGUUGUGGGAUCGAAUCCCGCUAGAGAAAUUUAUUU
rnacentral:tRNA from 1 species